AUAGGUCAGAGGUGGAAGCAUGGCGACAUGUGGAGCUGACUGAUACUAAUCGAUCGAGGACUUAACCA
rnacentral:rRNA from 1 species